rnacentral:lncRNA from 1 species
GAUCAUAUAUGACUUACGAGAAAACUAAUUCAGACUUCAAACUGCCCCAAUAUCCAAAAUCAUGUUUGUUUGUAACAACAGAGAACAUACAAUUCUAAUGUGUAGGCUUUUCAAUUAACAUAGUCAUGAAAUUUUGUUGAAUAGGUACCAUUAUUGUAAAUUUGAAUUAGCACUUCUAUACCACAAUAAUGGGGGAAUAAAAGAGCACAACCAGAGACUAUUUAGUAAGAUCAUUAUUGAAUCGCACCAUGGUAGGAAUUAGUAAAUAAGAAAAUAAUUCAUUCACCAAAUCCUCCAAUAGCGAGAGUGAAUCUUCCGUCCCCUGUCAACCAAAAUAUUUCUUCAUGCUAUUAUUUUUCAUUGUUUAAAUCUAAUCAGUUUAUAUUAUGGAUGCUCAGAUUUAUCCUCUUCUCUGUAAAAGAAACAGUUACAACACUUUCGACUACCAGUUACAAAACAAGCAACUCAAAAAUUUUAAUUUUUUUUAAAAAAAAUCGCUUAUUGUAUUCCAUUCCAUAUUCCUUGAUAAACUCUUACCCGCUCGCAUUCAUCCUCUUCCCCGUAAAAGAACACCCUUGUCCAGCAACACAAAAAGAAAAGACAGAUAGACCAGGUUGAUGUCAUUCCUCAACUACAAUAUUUGAGCAUACAAUCCCCUCCCCCCUCCUCGGCUUCUUCCCCAGGUUUUUUUUCAUAGAGAAUGAAAGAAGAAAAGCCGGUUAAGAUUUGACAGGAGGGACAGUCUUUAGAUUCUAUGACAGAGAGUGAUGCUUCAGCUUCUCUUCUUAUUGUCUCUGUUAUUGAGCACCCGUCGAAUUUGCCUACUGAUUAACAAACUUUACUGUGUUAGUGAUGUUGACAAAUCAAUGCUGGAUAUAUUUCAAGUGUACCAUCUUUUAUCAACUGUCAGUAAUGUUCCAUUGUUUACGCUUGAAAAAGACUUCUCUAAGUCCUUAAGCUAUAUUACAUAGCUGUUGCAUUCUGUAUGCCUAAGAAAGAGUUGCUUAUACUGCAGUACUACUUCGUCAGUAGAAGUAUUCUAAACUAUUUGUAUGCUUGAAUUAGGUUUUGAAAUUUCUGUUUUACUUUGUUAUUACUCUUGUAUUGUUAUGGAGUAACUGACGGGGAUUAUGCAACAUGUUUUUCAAUAUGAACUACUUGUAUAGUUCAAUGAGGAAAUGCCGCUAACUUGUGGUUUUAAUACAUUCAUGUAGUUGAUUGAUGAACUUAUUUUCUUGAAGAAAAAAAGUAUUGUCAUCGAUCUUUCAUUUGCUUUGCUUGCAGGGUGUUAUAUGCAUCUUCCAAUGUCAUAUACAUGCGUGUUUUGAAGGCCACCAAUUUGUGUAUGACAGGUAACACAAAUGACAUUCUGCUACUUUUUGUAAAUACCAAAUAACUUUGCCACUUGCCAUUACUGAUUGGCAUGUACAUUUAUAUUUUUAUUAGUUGGUAAAGCAUAUUGGUGCUGUAGCUGAUGUAAAUAAUGGUUGCAGAAAGAGUUAGCAGUAAAUGUGAUCUCCUUUUGGUUUGAAUUUUUUCUUCGUUCUGCUAUCCUUCCAAGUUAUGAUGCAUUAUUAGGAUGAAACUCCAUUGUGUUAAAUAGAUAUGUAUGUGGUGUAUUUAUGUAGUUGGAGUGGUAAAUGGAUGUUGUAGAUGAAAGAAUAAAUAUCAAUAAAAUAUUGAUACAACAAAAAUAAAUUCUUUUCUUCAGAAGAAUAUUAGCAUGGUCUGAAAGGAUUUGGAGUUAGCAUCAGUAAACCAAAUUAACCAUCAUAAGUACCUUUUGGCUUCACUUGUUUUCCAUUGUUUUCUGUGAGGCAAACAAGAGGAGAGUUGGUGGAACUUAAGAAUGUAAUGUAUAUUUUUUUUUAUGUUCUACAAAAUUCUCUAAAAUGUGCUAUCAAAUUGGGUGACAUGGGAAGGCUGGAGUUGUUAUGAUGCUAUCCAACCAAAACUUGGUGCCAUCAUAAACGGUAGAACUCCUACAUGUGUUUGAUUUUAGCAAACUAUGAUUUUGAGGGAUAGCUAAAGGAUGUUUGUGUAGCCAACAAAAGUUGAUCAUUUUCUUAUUAGAACACUAGGUAAUUUGCCUUUUUGUGGGAAAUCUAUAAAUCACGAUCAUCAAAAUGGUAGAACCCCUACAUAUGUUUGAUUUUAGCAAAUUAUGAUUUUGAGUGAUAGCCUAUAUUACUUAGAAUGUCUCAUAUUGAUUGAGGGUGUGUGUUGUUUCCGUAUAUGGUUUUUGGGCAAUCCUCAUCUCAUGACUAGCUUUUGGAAUUGAGUUAGGUCCAAUUGUGUCUAUUUUCCUACAUGUUAUCAGAGCUUUGGUGAAAAUCUUCGCCAUGCAACUUAUUAAGGUUUCCAAUUUCUGCUUUUGUUCUUGCUAUAUUAUUAGAAGUUCCUUGACAUGGAUACAUAUUGUUUAUUGUUGAUGCUGCCAAUUUCUUUCUUCGGCGUGCUCUCUGGUAAUAAUUGAGAAACUGGUGAUAAUCCUAGAUUGAUCUUCUGCAGAGUGAAAGAUUAUGGAAUCUAUCCUACUUGGGUCAAAGCUAUCUCUGUUGCCAGUUUUUUCUUCUUGUAACUUCAGCGUUUGGUUUACUAAUUUGUAAAAGAUGACAACAACAUAGUGAUGCUUCAACUUAUCACAUUCUUUUUUAAAUUCUGGUAAUUUUCUAGGUGAUAUAGAAGAAUGAUAAAGAACUUCAUGCAUCAGGGCGCUUUCAGGGCUAAUAACUGUGGACUUGCACAUGUAUAUUUCAAAUAACAAAUCAUCAGAUUGAGUACUCGAAAUUGAUACAUCACAACUCCAAAAAUUAAUCAUAGUAUAGGUUACUCUAUGUGAAAAGUUCUUUAUUUCUUUCAUAAAAUAAUACUAUAUACUUUUAUUAGGUUUGGGUCCGGGGUCAGCGCAGGCCAUUUUCCACUAGUCAUUUGUAGAAAUGAGAGUAUACAUGGUUGAGAUUCGCUUUCUUAACCAAGACUCCUCCGUUUAAAAAUAUUGACAUUAUUUCCCUAUUAUUCCGUUUUAAAAAGAUUGCGACAUUCCUAUAUUUCCUUAAUGGAAAGCAUUUGUAGCCACGCAAAUGCUAUGGCAGGUCAUAAGUUUUAAUAGCCACACAAAUCCUAUAGCUCAUUUAAGACUACACAUUUUAAAAGUUUUUCUUUCUUCAUUAAAGUUUGUGCCAAGUCAAAGUAGUUUUAAAUGAGCAUCCACUCAACAAUAUGCAUCAAUUGGCAACUGGGGGACUAAUUUUUUCUUUUUUGGGUGUAAAGAAUAAAGAGUAAAUAUCUAUACAAGCUGAAGCUGCAAGCUACUUUAUUUCGAUAUAAUUAUGUGAUGCCUGCAUUUUCGAAAAUGAGGUUUGUGGAGUGCAAGUUAUCUACAAUGGUUUAGGGGAGGAAUGUUUGCUAAAUCCGAAAGCAAAUUAGAUAUUGAAGUCCCAUUGGAGAAAGUAUCUAUCUGUUCAAUUUGCAAAAUGCUCAUUCAUGCUACAUGGCAACAUAAGUUGCUUUUUCAUUUCUAAGUUGGGCAUGGAGUUGGACAUUGUUUGCUAGUUUCGAUGAAGGUUUCGUGUCAAAUUUAGUUGGAAGUGUUCUUACAAUAAUGAACUUACUCUCGAAAUAUGUUGUCAAAAUAUUUGUAUAAUAAAUUCAACCAGUAAAUCAGACACCUCAUUUCAUCUCCUUGAUGGAAACUAAUCUUUUGAGCAUUUUUAAAACUAAUGUGACAGAUGAUGAAACAAGGAUAUGCUAAAAGUUCUUGAUUAUAUACUGAAGUGCUGCUUUAUAUAAAAACCAAUGAUCAAGUUUCCAUAAACAGUUCCAAGUCACGUAUCAAGGCUUUUGAUUUGAUGGAGUUUGAUAUUCAACCUUCUUUAUGUAUACUUCUUGUAAACACACUUUUCUUGCCAAAAUAUACUAGUAUUAUUUUAUCAACAAAAAAUGAUGCCAAAUAUUUCCUCUUUCAUUAUCUAAUUCUCUUCUGGGACAUUGCCACUAUUUUAUGUUCCAAAGAUACAAGAGCCUUCUUCUAUUCUCACCAUUUGCUCUACGAACUAAAGUGGUUUGGCGUAGUUGUAGUAUCUAAUCAUUCUCUUAGAUGGUGCAGUAGGCGGAUUAAGAGAACCACAAAGUGGAUAGCCGAGAUAUAAUUAAGAAAAGAUACUACAUUACCUUAUAAUAAAAAGAGAUUAAGGGCAGCCCAGUGCUCGAAACAUCUUGCGUUCACGCAGGUCCGGAAAGGGGUACACCCCAAGGGUGUGAUGUAGGAACCCUACCCUGAUGCAAGUAUUAGUGGCUGAUUCCACCACCGGAACCCGUGAUCUAUACGUCACAUGGAGACAACUUUACCGAUGCUCCAAAGUUCCCCUUCUUAUAAAAUAAAAAAAGAAAUAUAAUAAAGAAAAGAUGGAAUGCUUGUUCUGCCUUGCGUCUAUACAGGAUAUUUAUUAGCUUAACUCUGAGAAUCAGAUGGCAAAAAACACUUGGAAGAUGGCUG